UACAGAGGGUGCGAGCGUUGUUCGGAAUUACUGGGCGUAAAGCGCGCGCAGGCGGCUCUUUAAGUCUGACGGUGAAAUGCCGGGGCUCAACCCCGAGCGUGCCGGAGAUACUGGAGGGCUGGAGACGAGUAGAGGCAAGCGGAAUUCCGGGGUGUAGCGGUGGAAUGCGUAGAGAUCCGGAAGAACACCGGAGGCGAAGGCGGCUUGCUGGGCUCGGUCUGACGCUGAGGCGGCGAAAAGCGUGGGGAGCGAACAGG
rnacentral:rRNA from 1 species